rnacentral:lncRNA from 1 species
UUACAGAAUAUCAGUGAAAAAACCAAAAUGGGGCAACAGAAAGCAUGUAUGGAGGUAACAGCAAGGACUUCGAAUCGAGGAUUACAGGAGCAUAAGGGGGAUGUCUCCAACAGGAGAUUACAUACAGUCUUGCCACCGCCCAUGUACAAAGAUGACUUGGAGGUGAAGUGGCAAGAUGCUAAAGUGGUAAGAACCUUAAGUAAGGUGAUGUAUGCCACAUUAGCAGAAGCAUAGAGGUGUUUGUGAGAAGGAGGAGGGAGGGACUCUUGAAUGAGCGCCCUGCACUGGAGCUGGCUGCAC